rnacentral:rRNA from 1 species
UACGUAGGCAGCGAGCGUUUGUUCGGAGUUACUGGGCGUAAAGGGUGUGUAGGCGGUUGUUUAAGUUUGGUGUGAAAUCUCCCGGCUCAACUGGGAGGGUGCGCCGAAUACUGAAUAACUAGAGUGCGGGAGAGGAAAGUGGAAUUCCUGGUGUAGCGGUGAAAUGCGUAGAUAUCAGGAGGAACACCGGUGGUGUAGACGGCUUUCUGGACCGUAACUGACGCUGAGACACGAAAGCGUGGGUAGCAAACAGG